rnacentral:rRNA from 1 species
UACGAAGGGGGCUAGCGUUGCUCGGAAUCACUGGGCGUAAAGCGCACGUAGGCGGAUCUUUAAGUCAGGGGUGAAAUCCCAAGGCUCAACCUUGGAACUGCCUUUGAUACUGGGUAUCUCGAGUCCGGAAGAGGUGAGUGGAACUGCGAGUGUAGAGGUGAAAUUCGUAGAUAUUCGGAGGAACACCAGUGGCGAAGGCGGCUCACUGGUCCGGUACUGACGCUGAGGUGCGAAAGCGUGGGGAGCAAACAGG